rnacentral:rRNA from 1 species
GAUUAACGCUAGCGGCAGGCAUAAUACAUGCAAGUUGAACGGCAGCACAGGUAGCAAUACUGGGUGGCGAGUGGCGCACGGGUGCGUAACACGUAUGCAACCUACCCUAUACAGGCGAAUAACCUUUAGAAAUGAGGGCUAAUACGCCGUAGUAUUACAGAUGGGCAUCUAUUUGUAAUUAAAGAUUUAUCGGUAUAGGAUGGGCAUGCGUCCCAUUAGUUAGUUGGUAAGGUAACGGCUUACCAAGACGAUGAUGGGUAGGGGAUCUGAGAGGACUUACCCCCACACUGGUACUGAGACACGGACCAGACCCCUACGGGAGGCAGCAGUAAGGAAUAUUGGGCAAUGGCCGCGAGGCUGACCCAGCCAUGCCGCGUGCAGGAAGACGGCCUUAUGGGUUGUAAACUGCUUUUAUACGGGAAUAAUAGAGUGUACGCGUACAUUUAUGCAAGUAUCGUAUGAAUAAGCAUCGGCUAACUCCGUG